rnacentral:rRNA from 1 species
UCAAAAACAUUGUCUCAUGAAUAAAAUAUGAGAUAAUACCUGCCCAGUGACAUAUUUGUUCAACGGCCGCGGUAUCCUAACCGUGCAAAGGUAGCAUAAUCACUUGCCUAUUAAUUGUAGGCUAGAAUGAAGGGGUUAACGAAAUAAAAACUGUCUCAAUUAAUUAACUAAAAAUUAUUUUCUAUCUGAAGAAAGGUAGAUAAACUCGAAGGACAAGAAGACCCUAUAGAGCUUAAUUUUAACUAUAGAGCUAUCCUAUAUAAAUAUUCGGUUGGGGCGACCCAGGGCUAAAUAAUCACCCAAUUUAUAAAAGAUAUAUUAAUCAAACAAGUGACCCUUAUAAGAUCACAAGAACAAGCUACCUUAGGGAUAACAGGCUAAUCCCACUUAAGAGUCCUUAUCAACAGUGGGGAUUGGCACCUCGAUGUUGGCUUAGGGUAUCCAUAUAGCGCAAAAGUUAUAUAAAGAUGGUUUGUUCAACCAAUGACACCCUACGUGAUCUGAUUCAAAAACCGGA